rnacentral:lncRNA from 1 species
AUUCUCAUCACCCCAUGAGCUCGACAGAGCUCAUCAAAAUGAAGAUGAGAGAGAUCAAAAUGCGCGAGAGAAGAAACCAGCAAAGAAAGGAAAACAAGGAAAGGAGCGGUGGAGAAAUAUUUUUUUUUCGGCGAGAAUCCAUUGCCACCAAAAAUUUGACCCGUUCUCUGAUUCUCAUCACCGCAUGAGCUCGACGGAGCUCAAUUGAAACUAACGCGAGAGAGAUCAAAACGUGCGAGAGAAGAAACCGACGAAGAGAGAAAAAUAAGGAGGGAGCGGCGAAGAAACAUUUUUUUCCGGCGAGAAUUCAGUGCCACCGGAAAUUUGACUCAUUCUCUGAUUCUCAUCACCGCAUGAGAGCGAUGGAGUUCCGUUGAAACGAAGGCGAGAGAGAUCAAAAUGCGCGAGAGAAGAAACCGGCGAAAAGAGGCAAACGAGGAGAGGAGCGGCGGAGAAACAUUUUUUUCGACGAGAAUCCACUACCACUGAAAAUUUAACCCGUUCUGAUGCUCAUCAUCGUAUGAGCUCGACGGAGCUCUGUCGAAAUGAAGGCGAGAGAGAUCAAAACGCGCGAGAGAAAAAACCGACGAAGAGAGGAAAACGAGGAGAGGAGCGGCGGAGAAAUAUUUUUUUCCCGACGAGAAUCUACUGCCACUGAAAAUUUGACCCGUUCUCUGAUUCUCAUCACUUCAUGAGCUCGAUGGAGCUCCAUCGAAAUGAAGGAGAGGGAGAUCAAAACACGCGAGAGAAGAAAUCAGCGAAGAGAGGAAAAUGAGGAGAGGAACGACGGAGAAACAUUUUUUUUUCGGCAAGAAUCCACUGCCACCAUAAAUUUGACCCAUUCUCUGAUUCUCAUUACCGCAUGAGCUCGACGGAGUUCCGACGAAAUGAAAACAACAGUUCCCACUCUAAUCCGUUCCAAGAACCCACCAGAAAUUCCAAAAAUUCGAUCAAUCUUCUCUUCUCCAUCACCGCUUGAGCUCACCUCAGUGGCAAAACAAAAAACGCAAACCCAACUCCGAUUCCGGCGAGACCUCUUUAAGCUUAAUUCAAAAUUUGUGAUUUGGGGUUCGUAUUGAGAUUUUUCAGCUGGUUUAAGUCUGUUCGGGGUUAUGGUCCUCGAUACCAAAUUGGUUUGUUCGUCGUUGAGGUUUUUGUUCGAGGAUUUCGAGCUUAGGCUUCACUAACUCACUAUUAUCAAAAAUCAGUUCUGCUAAGGUCCGAUUCUUAAUUCUAUUUUAUUUUUAUGUUAUCUUAACAUGGUUGAUGAUGUGAUUUGGUGGUAUGUAUUGAGUGCACUUGAGCAAUGUUGAUUAUCGUGGCUUUGAAUGUUUGAUUUUAUCUUAAAAUUAAUUAAUUAGAUGAUUGAGAAAUAAAUUUAGGACCAAAAUUAAAAAUUGAUAAAAGUGAAUAUUGGUUUAUUUAAUUCAUUAACGGUUUUUUAAUUCAAAAUAAGCAUCGAUUUUGAUAAAUUCAAUAGUAUCAUGUUUAGAUCGAGAAUUGAUAGAAAAAUUUUAGGUUUGUGGGUAGGAAAAUCGUACGAUUCUACAUUAUCGAAUGUUGGAAUGCUUGUUUUAAAUGAUUUUACUAUUUUUAUCACAUUUUAUCAAAUAUAUUUAUUCAUCGGGGAAUGUCCCGAGAUUAUAUGUAUAUAUUUAUUAGGGAAUGUCUCGUGAAAUUCUAUAUUUGGAAGACAGUUCGUGGAAAUAAUCCAGAAUGUCGGGUGGACUUUGGAGCAUAACUUAGGAUUAGUGUAGGAUAAAAUAAGUUUUCAUUUUAGUACUUUUUCAUUUUUGGGCCUAUAUAAUUGAACUAAACAUUAUUUUUUUUUGGAAUUUUUCAUUUGUUUGUUUUCUUACGUGCUCUUCUGUGAAGUUUAUAAAUCCCAUAGUGUCAUAUUAGUCGAUAUAACUUGACAAAACAACCGUAAUCGAACCACAGAACUGAGGGGUGUCUAACAUCUUCCCAUUGGUAAAUAGAAUUCCUUAGCUGUAAUUUCUGUCUGUGGAUCAGUUUUAAGAGUCAACUCUUUUUUUUUUAAAGGAAAAAAGAAUUUAAAAGAUGACUUGAUACACAAAACAAUGUCAAGUGAUGACUCUGAGUUUAAUUGCAUUUUUUUUUGAAACAAAUUUUCUUUUGUUACUUUAAUAAUUAAAAACCUUUUCGAAUUUUAAAGGCAAAAUAAUUUUUUGAUAAAAAAGGGUGUCCCAGCUCUGGCACUCUAUUGGAAAUUUUUUGAGAAUUUGAGCUUCAUUGUUGCGUUGUGUCGACUUAGUUUGACAUUAUGAGAGUAUAGACAUGUUGUUUGUUUAUCGUUUUAUCAUUGUUGAGUGUCUACGUGCUAUGUGUUUAUUAUUUUUUUUUUAUGUGUUACCAUUUUAUAUCUGGCAUCAAAUGCAUUACCUUGAGUCAUUUCUUUCGCAACAAGUCCCGUAGUACAUGUUGUGUGCACAACCUUCGUUGAGUUACCUUUAUUUUAAAAGGGGGAGCUGUUGGUUGGUAUGGAGUGGGCGAAAAACAAUUGCAGGCUCCAUCGACUAUACGCUCCCCUGAAUAGCCUUGUUAAUUGAACCUCAACCUAGGUCGGUCUUUAAGUCAUUCUUAUUUGCAUCAUGAUUGAGACCUAGUGGGAUCCGUUUGGUCCUUUGUGGAAACUUGUUCCUAAACAUUCCUAUGUGCUACUUGUUGCAUCUUUGAGGCAAAAAAGUCAGUUGGCGGACUAAAUUAGGGAAUCAUGUUCUAAAAUUGAGGGAAUGAGUGUGUUUAGGCAAAGAAAGGUCAAAAGAAAAAAGAAGUCAAAUUUAGAGUCGAAAAAGAGAAGAAAAAAAAAGAGUUUCGUAGUUUAUAAGAGUUUUUUAUGGCUUUUAUAUUUCACAAUAAAAAAUUUAAAAAGAUUUUUCACCUUUUGCACGCAUUUUCUCAAAAAUCAAAACAUCAAGAAAAUUUUUUCUUUAUUUUCUUCAGCAUGCAUUUAUAACUCAAAAUUUAAAAAAAAAUUUGUUUAAUAGUUAUAUAUUUUUAUAGAAAAAAAAUUCAAAAAAAUGUUAGAAGUUUUAUACAUUCCAUAUAAUAAAAUGUCAAAAAGAUUUUUCUUUUAGUGUCUUCAUGUUUUUCUACGUCACAAGUUUCAAAAAUUAUUUUAUUUCUGUUGGUGUUUUAUUUCUAAACAAUUUCAUGCGAAAUAUUAAAAAAGAUUUUCCUUUCUUGUUUUGUUUUGUUUUGUUUUGUUGUUAUAUGAAGUUUCAAAUCAACAACUCAAAAAAAAAAAUUCAUUUGUAUGUUUUCUCAUUUGUUUUGGUCAUGCCUCAAGUCGGGUUUUGUUUGUGGCUUAAUCUUUAACUCUUUAAUUUGAAUGAACUACGUAUACCUGAUUUUCGUCCUUCGGGACGGGAUACGUAACCAACCCUUGGUGGGUUUAGUAAUCUUUUUUAAUUUGAUCAUUGUCUUAGUUUUAGUCUAGGGUCAUUUUCUUGCUUAGUCAAGUAUUGUUAGUUGGUCAUUGCCAAAUAGACUAAUUUCACUUAGCAGUACCAUUUGGUGAAUUAAAGUUAUAAAUCGGCAUGUUCCUUCGUGUCACGUGACACUUCUCUAUGUUAAAAUUUUGAAGGUCGGAAAUUCUUUCCCUUUUAUUGAAUUUUGAGUCAUGGUCCUACAUGUGUUAUUAUGGAAUGGAUUCAUUCACAAGAUCUAGAGUCUUGAUGGUUUCUAAGGUGCCCAAAAAGUAAAUCAAGUGGUGGGACAUGUUCAACUACUCUAAACGACACAAGUUAAAGAAGAAGUCAGGCACUCUUACAUCCUUCUUGUAUAUCGUGCCCUACUAGAUUUGAUCGAGAUUAUAUUGACUUUUUGGGACGAAUAGGUUGGUAUUUAGGUUCGGGAGUUGUAAAAUGAUGCCCACUCUGACAAAAAUAUCUGGUUUGUUUUAAUUGUCCUACAUCAAUAAAAAGAUGAUUCGAGUCUGGGUUCAUUCUCCCACGAGGUUUCUCCAUGACUAUAGAUUGAAGAUAAUAACCACCUGGGAUGCCUUAACUAAUUUUGGUUCUCCUUCGAUUACCCGUAUGCUCGAUUUGGGUCCCCAGAUGGUUUCGUUUGUUUUUAGGAUGAAUUUUAUAAAACUAAGAAGAAUUGGGAGGAAACGUCGUCUUGAAAUAUUCACCCUUGCUUUGUUAGGCACCUUAGUGUUUUCGUUAGAUGAAAGAUAUGUAAAUACUCAUUUGCAAUUUGUAGUUAUGGCCUUAUUUAAUAGAAACAAAGGGCAAAAAGUCACUACUGUACUUAUAAUUUUAGUUAAAAUAUAUAAGGCUUUGACUGAAGUAAAAGGAGGAUUUGUUUUUUUUAGGGAAGUAGCCUGGUAUUGCAAUUAUGGAUGAUGAAACAUUUGCACGCUCCUUUUUUGAUUAAAUUGGGUGUGGUCAAUCGUUGUUUUCCCGAUCGAGUGGAGGCCAUUGAACAAAGAAUGCGCUUUGAUAAAUUUUUAUUACCCGUGGGAGUCAAUGCUUGGAUUGAAUUUCUCGAAUCAAGAACUCAUGACAACAUUCUUUGAACCUAUUUGUGGCUCCAUUCGAAAAUAAUCUUAGUCAAAUGUCUCAUGCAACUUCUUCUAGUUUUGAUAGGGCUCAACUGCACUAGACCAUACACUCCGAGUAGGGUAAUGCACCAGUUGGAUUGGUUGCAAGACGUUCCACCAAUAAUGAAUUUUCAAAAGGAUGUUGAGUACUUUAGGGAUCAAGCCAUGGGUGAGAUCAAAUCUGAGCAGUUCUAGCGUAAUGCAACAAAACUUGGGUAUAGAUACUCUCAUAGAAGGUUUGGAUAAUCCUGCGUACACUCAGAGAUAUGUGAUCUGGCUACAAUCCAUACCUCAGGGUAUCGGUAGGCCAUUACCGGCGCAACUUAGAGGGCAGAUACUUGAAGCGUACAUAGUCAAUGACAAUGAAGAGAUAGGUGCAGGGGAUAAAGUUGAGUUGCUAAAAGUUUGGUUAUCAGGUUUGAUCACAACUGUAGAGCCACUAGAGAAAUUUGCUUGGGUGUACUCUCCAAGAGUUGGGGGCACGCGCUAGAGGCUUCCUCCCAAGUAUCAAAGUAUCAUUACGGGAUAUGUUACAAAGUUGGAAUUCAAGUGGCAGCGAGAACUUUACAGCCAGGGCCUUCACAGACAGAUCCAUCAUAGUCGGGGUCAUCACAUGGCGCAGCAGUUUGAAGGGGUAUUUCUAUCUUUUGCUUGGUUGGAGUCCUUUAUUUUUCUGUCAUUAUGUUUGACAUAGUGGUGUUAUGUCUUGGUGGGUCGGUAUCAAGUUUGAUUUAGUAUUAAUGUUACGUACAUUGUUUUGUCAGUCUAGAGUGUUUUUUAGUUUUUAUGUAUUGUUAUCAAAGUUGUCUUAGUUUUGGAGUCUAUUUUAGUUAUAUCUUCUAUGAAAAAAAAUCUCUGGUUAUGUUUCGUUGGUCUUUCUUUUUCACUUGUUCUUUGUUCUUAAGUUUUGAAGAAAAAAAACACUUUUGUUUCUGUGAUAUUUAUGCAUGCUUUCCGAACUACACAAGAUCUGAUUCUUGCACAACAUGAUACAUAGUCAACCUACUACUUGGUUUGAUCUAAUCAUUUUGUUUUUUUCGUUUUAUUUUUCUUUUCAGUUUUCCUCUUUUGAAGAAAGCAAAAGCCAGAAUGAAUGAUAAAAAAAAAGAAAAAUAGUGAGCGAAUAAAUCAAACAAAGAGUUAGAGAAGGAAAAGAGAUUGAUGAAAAGAAAAAGAAAAAAGAGCACGAAAACAGAGAAAAAUGAAAUGCAAGUGCGAUGUAAGAAGCAGUAAGUGUAAAAGCAAGUUGGGAUGAUGUCAAAAUAUCCGUAUUACCUUCAAGGCCAUGUAGAAAUGUAAAUGAAACUAGGUGCAUAACAUACAAUGUGAUUAGCAUGUCUGUUGUAUGACCUAAACUUAACGAGUUUUGUCUUUGAUGAGAAUGUUCUUUUAGAUAAAAAUGGUUGAUUUGUGGCACUUUGGCCAGUCAUCUUUAUUUCACCAAGUCCAAAGCAAAGAUUGUUAUGGCUAACAAAGAUGAAGAAACUUCACUUAUUGACCCAAACCAGGGUCCCGGGGAAGGGGGUUCAGAACCCAAUUAGGAGAUAUCGAGACUUAGACAACAGUCAGUAGAAAUACACUGAGCAUGGGCUAGUGACAUGUCUCCUUCUCCAUUCCCUAAUGAUGAUCUUGAAAAAUACUUUCAAUUACUCGUUGCUUUCGCAGGUACACUUUUCUAUUUCUAUUGAUACACCACAACAUGCACCACCCCGCAUCAAUACUAUCCAAGUACUUUUAAUGUGCCAUUUGAUGCUCCUCAAUAAACACUUACCAUCUAUCCAACACCACCUAUUGAACCUGUGUUCAUGGCUCCACCACCUCCUGAAUUUCCUACUUUUGCUGCUCGUCCAAAAGUCACGCUCUCUCGAUUUGCUACUGAAUCGAUGUUUAGGAUUCCUGAUGAUCAAUAUUAUGCUCCAGAGCCUACCUUUAAGUUGAAUGAUCUGUAUUAUUACAAUUUGCCACCUGUAUUCCCUGCGAUACAGAAAAGUCUACCAUGACAGAAGAACAGGAUGGUUUGAUACGAAAAUUGAAGAGUUUAGAAUCGGCCAUGAGAAACUUACAGGGACUCAGGGGUUAUAAAGUGUUUCAUAUAAAGAUCUGUGCAUGUUAUCAAGUGUUAAUCUCCCUUUUAAUUUUAAGAUGCCGAAGUUUGAGAAAUACGAUGGACACGAUGAUCCAGUGGCACACAUGAGGCAUUAUGUGUGAGAGUAUUUCAAGUCUAACUUCUGAAUGGUUUGUUGUUCAGGACAUCGAUAAGUGGAAUAGUUGAGAUGACCUAGCUAAUGAAUUCGUACAACAAUUCCAACACAACGUGGAGUUGAUUUCUGAAGAGAAAUCCCUAACUAAUAUGAAGAAUAAGAGUACUGAAAGUUUCAGAAAGUAUGCAAUAAGGUGGCGUGAACAGGCUGCUAGAGUGAAACCGUCGAUAAAAGAGAGUAAAUUGGUAGAGAUCUUCCUUUAGCCACAAGAUGAAACCUAUUUUCAACACUUGUUUCUGGCAAUAGGUAAAUCGUUUAUUGAAGUCAUUAAAUGGGAGAAAUGAUAGAAAAUGGUAUUAAGAUUGGGUGGAUUGUGAGCUUUGCUGCAUUAAAGGCUACUACCCAAGCAAUUCAAAGUGGUUUCAGAACUUUUGGAGGAAAGGAGAAGAAAAAAGAUGUAGCUGUUGUUGUAGCUGGACCACGAGCAUAUCCAAAAGGACCACCUCGCUAUUACCCCCAAUAUCAAGCCCAAGUCUAUAUCUAAGCUCAAUAUAAUCACCCCCAACAUCAUUAUCCUCCACAAAAUCCAUUAUACUCUAUUCCCCACCUCCUUCUUACCAACAAUGGCGUCACUGGGUUUUGCGAAGGAUAAUAAUAUUGGGGGUGAUUAUAUGGAGCUUGGGUAUAGACUUGUGCUUGAUACUGAGGGUAAUGGUGAGGUGGUGUUUUUGGAUAUGCACGUGGUCAACUAUAACAACAGCUACAUCUUCUUUCUUCUUCUUUCCUCCAAAAGUUCCUGAACUACUUUGAAUUGCUUGGGUAGUAGCCUUUAAUGCAGCAAAGUUCACAAUCUGCCCAAUCUUAAUACCAUCUUCUAUCAUUUCUCCCAUUUUGAUGACUUCAUUAAACGAUUUACCCAUUGUUAGAAGCAAGUGUUGAAAAUAGGUUUUGUCUUGUGCUUGAAAGAAGACCUCUACCAAUUUACUCUCUUUCAUCAACGGUUUUACCCUAGUAGCUUAUUCAUGCCACCUUAUCGUAUACUCCCUGAAACUUUCAGUACUCUUCUUCUUCAUAUUAGUUAGGGAUUCUCAUCAGAAAUCAACUCCACAUUGUAUUGGAAUUAUUGCACGAAUUCAUUAGCUUGGUCAUCCUAAUUGUUCCACUUAUCGAUGUCCUGAUCAAUAAAUCAUUCAGAAGCUAGACUUGAAAGACUCUCACCAAAAUAAGUCGUGAGUAAUUCUUCUUUCCCUUCAGCGCCUUUUAGCUGGUUACAAUAACGCCUCAUGUGUGCCAUCGGAUCACCGUGCCCAUUAUAUUUCUCAAACAUCGGCAUCUUAAAACCAUGAGGGAUAUUAACACUUGGAAGCAUGCACAAAUAUUUAUAUGAAGCACUUUUGUAACCCCUGAGUCCUUACAAGUUUCUUAUGGCCUGUUCUUAAUUUUCAGCCUUUCUGUUCUUCUGUCAUGGCAGGUUUUUCUGUAUC